rnacentral:rRNA from 1 species
GAUGAACGCUGGCGGCGUGCCUAAUACAUGCAAGUCGAGCGAACAGACGAGGAGCUUGCUCCUCUGACGUUAGCGGCGGACGGGUGAGUAACACGUGGAUAACCUACCUAUAAGACUGGGAUAACGUCGGGAAACCGGAGCUAAUACCGGAUAAUAUAUUGAACCGCAUGGUUCAAUAGUGAAAGACGGUUUUGCUGUCACUUAUAGAUGGAUCCGCGCCGCAUUAGCUAGUUGGUAAGGUAACGGCUUACCAAGGCAACGAUGCGUAGCCGACCUGAGAGGGUGAUCGGCCACACUGGAACUGAGACACGGUCCAGACUCCUAAGGGAGGCAGCAGUAGGGAAUCUUCCGCAAUGGGCGAAAGCUUGACGGAGCAACGCCGCGUGAGUGAUGAAGGUCUUCGGAUCGUAAAACUCUGUUAUUAGGGAAGAACAAAUGUGUAAGUAACUAUGCACGUCUUGACGGUACCUAAUCAGAAAGCCACGGCUAACUACGUG